rnacentral:rRNA from 1 species
CAGUAGCCACGGGAAUACGAAGGGGGCUAGCGUUGUUCGGAUUUACUGGGCGUAAAGCGCACGUAGGCGGAUCCUUAAGUCAGAGGUGAAAUCCCAAGGCUCAACCUUGGAACUGCCUUUGAUACUGGGGAUCUCGAGUCCGGGAGAGGUGAGUGGAACUGCGAGUGUAGAGGUGAAAUUCGUAGAUAUUCGCAAGAACACCAGUGGCGAAGGCGGCUCACUGGCCCGGUACUGACGCUGAGGUGCGAAAGCGUGGGGAGCAAACAGGAUUAGAUACCCCAGUAGUCCCUGUCUCUUAUAC